AUUGAACGCUGGCGGCAUGCCUUACACAUGCAAGUCGAACGGUAGGGGGGCAACCCCUGAGAGUGGCGAACGGGAGAGUAAUGCAUCGGAACGUGCCCAGUUGUGGGGGAUAACGUAGCGAAAGCUACGCUAAUACCGCAUACGACCUGAGGGUGAAAGGGGGGGAUCGCAAGACCUCUCGCAAUUGGAGCGGCCGAGGUCAGAGUAGCUAGUUGGUGGGGUAAAAGCCUACCAAGGCGACGAUCUGUAGCUGGUCUGAGAGGACGACCAGCCACACUGGGACUGAGACACGGCCCAGACUCCGACGGGAGGCAGCAGUGGGGAAUUUUGGACAAUGGACGCAAGUCUGAUCCAGCCAUGCCGCGGGCAGGAAGAAGGCCUUCGGGUUGUAAACUGCUUUUGUCAGGGAAGAAAUCCCUUGGGAUAAUACCUCGGGGGGAUGACGGUACCUGAAGAAUAAGCACCGGCUAACUACGUGCCAGCAGCCGCCGUAACAC
rnacentral:rRNA from 1 species